rnacentral:sRNA from 1 species
GAUAAUUUUUAAGGAUUGACUUUUGAGUGGUAAUGUCAUGGAGGGCGCAAUAAUACCUAGCAUGAACGCAAAUCAUCAAUUAACAUAAUUAAU